UAAGAUCACCUAAGUGUUCUUGACAUCAAGCGUGAAGGAGGAAGGUACAAGCCUAACCGGUUCGCAAGCAACGCAAAACAAAGGUGAAUCUCACUCUUGAUAAUGGAGAGCUUGGAUCGAACACACCACAUCGCCCUUUAUGCGCUUCCGGUUUAGUCGUCUUUGUAAAUGGGUCAAAACACUUUCAUAAUGUAAAUGUUAAGUUUAUGUCUAA